rnacentral:lncRNA from 1 species
CUUGUAAAUACUGUAUUACUAGUUUAAUAAAAUAUGUUUUUUCUUGAAAAGGUUUUGUUGUCUUUUUAUUUGAUAUAUUUGAUAGGUCAAACAAUUUAUAUAAUAAUAAAUCUUACCUUAAGAAAUAAAUUGUCCAAGUUAUUCCAUACAUCAAUUCCCCGUAUAUGUCGUCGUUUAUUACACGUUUAAAUGUGGCGCAAAAAUAAGCAGGCA